GGUGUAGCUAAGUGGUAGAACAUGUGCUUAGCAUGCAUGAGACCCUGAGUUCUAUCCCCAGCACCA
rnacentral:tRNA from 1 species